AUUUUAGAUUAAGAUAUGCAAAGGCGACACGGCUGCGAACUUUCCCUUUGCUGCUGUGGCUGCGUCCAUCCCCUCGACUGUAAUGAGAGGAAGGCGUAAUUGGAGUCAACUGCUUGAUUAUGAUAAUUGCUACUGUCUGGGGGAAGAAACAUUUGAGUCCCGGAGCUUGAUCCGCGCUGCACCUUUGGGCUUUAUUUUGCCAAAUUCUGAGCCGUCAUUUGCUGCCAGCAGUCCCACCUCUUCCAUCCAGGAGCUGGUGACGUCGAUGGAGCUGCAGAUCGGAAGCUGUUCCCUGGAUGAGGUGGGCCGCCUGCUGCCCUCACCACGCUCUUCCCACCCCACUGCUGCCCGCCCUGAGGUCUGCUCCAGCGCAGGGAGGUCUGGCACUCUUGAACCUGAGGUCAAAAACAAGAGGGAGGAAAAGAAUGGCCUUCAGGCCAGAGGAAGAAACCAGGGCAACCAGGCUCUUAACGUGAUAAAAGGGCUUUAUCUCAAAGCACUUAAACAAAACACACAAGCCUGAGAGAAGAGGCUCUGUCAAGUAUCCGCCCGGGACAUGGGGAAAUUGCAAAUCCCUGCAGGACAGAGGGGCUCUUUCUUCAGUGUGCAGAGCCUGGAGAUGGGGCUGGGCAGGUGAGGGGUGCUGGGGAAGGGGUGCAUGGGGGAUUUCCCGUUUGCAGUGGUGCAUGGGCACGGAUCAGACUGUGAGCAGCUGUUAGAGAGCAGAUCACGGGCACGGGGAGUGGGCAGCAGUGCUGGAGAGGGGCAGGAGAGAAUGGGAGAUGGGACAUGCAGCAGCAGGUGGGCACGGUCCCAUCCCCUGUAUGUGGGGAGUCAGUGUAAAUCAGUGCCACCUCUGCGCUUGGUGGGUGGAUGGGUGCAGUUUGCAGGAGUUGGAUGGGUGUCGUUUACAGGAGCUGGAGGGGAGGCUUGGUUCUUGCUGGCCCCUUACAGAACGCUGCAGGGAGGAUUGUGCCAUGGAGAGGUCUCUGGGUUGUUCGCAGAUGCAUGGGCAGGGAGCUGCACACACCAUCCCGGGUCUCUGGGCUGCAGGUCCCAGCCCAUCCCCAGCCAAUCUGCUUUCCCAAGGGGCUGAGGCAGCUGUGCUUGUGGUACCUGCUCCAAAGGGACGGGCUGUUCGCUUUGGCUCAUCUUGUCCCUCAUCCCUUUGGGGCUCAGCCCCGUCCCUCCCCAUUUCUCUGUGACACACGAUGCUUCGUGCCAGCAAUCCCUGCCUAUGAGGAGAAGCCCUGCCCUGCCUGGGCGCUGCUCUCCCUCUGGCUCCUUGUUCUUCAGCCUUUGUUUGGUACACGUUCUUGUCCCCUAUGGAUGCCCAUAGUGUCCUUUCCCUUCCAUGGCUCAGUGAGGACCAUGAGGAGCUCCCAGCCAUGAAUUUCCCCCACACACCACUGCCAGGCUGUUAUUGCUGUGCGCUCCCUCCUGACUCCAUCUGUCUGCAUGGUGCUACUGCUCCGUGCCAGGAGGGCUCCGGGACCGCUGGGGUCACGGCUGCCCCAUUACGGGGCGAGAUUUAUCAUUGGCAGGUGUGCUGCGGGAUGGUAUAUUAUCCAGGAUUAUGAACUGUAACAGGAUAAUCUCUCUAAUGUAAUUCAAGCUCUCGACAUGGCUUAUGGCUCCUUAAUGUACCUCAGACUGAAGAAUUACAAGAACAUUUUCCCCCCUCCCUACCUUGUCAGCUCCUAAAUGAUUUAGGCAAUCGCCUGAAGCCAGAUCUUGGCCUCCAGUCAUAACUCAGAGCAGUUCAGUAAAUAUGAUGGGGAAGGAGUUUUCCUGCCUUGGCUCUUUCUUCCUUCCGCUGCGCUCAGCCCUCGCGGUGCUGCUGCUCUGCUCCCUGUGGAGCAUUCAGGAUGGACCCAAAGUUGGGCUGGUGGGCGCAGGGAUGCUCUGCAGGGGGAUCAUGCCUUGGUUUCAGACCACGGGGUUGUGCCCAUUUCAGCAUCACCUCUCUUUUUGAGUAAUGCAGCAAUUAGUGGUUUGGUAACACAUCAACCAAUGUGUGUCCAGCUUUGCUUUGUACCCCCGCUGAGCCAAGAGGAACAUUGCCCAUCUUCAUCUAAUUGGCUUUUAAUUCUGGUCAUUGCUUUGACCUUAAAGAUGUGGUUUGUGGGGCCGAUUUUGGAGCAGGUUCAUCCCCACAUGGGCACCAAAAGGGUGAGCAGUGAUGGCCACCACCCCAGGGUCCCACAGCGACCAACUGGCCUCAGUCCAGCCCCCAUGAGCCCAAUGACAAAUAAACCUCGUAAAAGGAGAGGAAAAAGAGGGAGAAAAGCGGAGAUUAAGAACAGGAACUGCAGGGAUAUGGCUUCCACUCGGCGACUGACUUAAAAUAAACAUCAGAUAUGCAGAGCAGGGCUGGGAGCCUUCCAUGGCAUGGGGG
ensembl:lncRNA